rnacentral:tRNA from 1 species
GAGGGUAUAGCUCAGUGGUAGAGCACAUGUUGGCAUGCAGAAGGUCCUGGGUUCAAUCCCCAGUGCCUCCA